rnacentral:lncRNA from 1 species
AGCUAUGGCUGAUGUUGAAGGACAACCUCGCCAUAUCUCUAGAAGGUGAAGAGCCAGAAAAUUCACUGGACAUGCUGAGCCCACAUCACCCCACAAGCCUGCAUUUUGGACCUAAUGAUUUAAGGAGGAAGAGGACUCUCCCCUUGGCACCUGAUGUAGCCCACAGGAAGCUCC